UACGGAAGGCAGCAGUGGGAAUAUUACACAAUGGGCGCAAGCCGUGAUGCGAGCCGAUGCCGCGUGUAUGAAAAAGGCCUUCGGGUUGUAAAGUACUUUCAGUCGUGAGGAAAGUGUUAAGGUUAAUAACCUUAGCAAUUGACGUUAGCGACAGAAGAAGCACCGGCUAACUCCGUGCCAGCAGCCGCGGUAAUACGGAGGGUGCGAGCGUUAAUCGGAAUUACUGGGCGUAAAGGGCACGCAGGCGGUUUAAUUAAGUUGGAUGUGAAAUCCCCGGGCUUAACCUGGGAAUGGCAUUCAAGACUGGUUAGCUAGAGUCUUGUAGAGGGGGUAGAAUUCCAUGUGUAGCGGUGAAAUGCGUAGAGAUGUGGAGGAAUACCGGUGGCGAAGGCGGCCCCCUGGACAAAGACUGACGCUCAUGUGCGAAAGCGUGGGGAGCAAACAGGGAUUAGAUACC
rnacentral:rRNA from 1 species